GCGAGACUGGGCUCGCCAGGCGGAAGUGGUUGGAGACUGCGUGUUUUCCUAGAAAGUCCUCGACCUUCGUCGGGGAGAGGAGGGGAGUGAUAAAUUGGAAGGCGGACAAGCGACAAGUGCAGUACUGGAAAGACCCAAACAUACUUGGUUGUGACCUCAGGACUCAAUAAAAUAAACAGCUGGAAAUAAGCAGACUACUGUAAGAGUGAAUUGGAAAGAAAACCCAAGGUAAGUGAAAAGUUGGACGAUCCUCUAAUAAAGAUCAUUAGCAAAGUUUUAGUUCAAUACUAGUUUUAGGAUUCCCAUAAAUGGCUUGCAUUUUUAGUGUGGCAGAAAAGGAGUUUUUACAUACUGUACACAAAACAGACAGCAUAUAUUUAUAGGUACAGUAUUACUGUUUCCAAACUUGCAUGUAUAUUUACAGAAGGCUGAGUUUGUUUACUCAAACAGAGGUUUGUGAAAUUUGUGUGCUUAAUCCUCAAGACCUACACACAAUUAGAAUCAGCAUUUCAUGUGGUCUUUUUAAAUGUGGCUUUAAUACUUGGUUGUAGAGGAGAAUGUUAACCGUAAGGCUUGGCUUACUUUGUAAAUUUAACAAAACAACCCAGGAAAAACGUUUUAACUGGGGCACACUUGUUAUCAUUUAACAAUUGUCAAAUGCUGACAUGUGCUAGCCAUUGUGCAGACGCAAAAAGAUACAUACAAUCUCUACCCUCAGGAAGCUUAGGAUGCUAAAUGGUGCUUUAAAAAAAAGGUUUCAAUCUCUUUCCAAGAGAGGCAGUUAAGGAAUGAUGUGAUUUAUAUUAAAAGAGAUUUCUCCCUCAACUGUAGCCAAUCCACUUUAAAAGGUUAACUACUAGCAUUAGCUCUCAUUAACCACACAAUUGCAUUUAUAAUUAAGGUAACAGCAACUCUUCCACAAAAAUGGAAAAUGUCUAGAAUUGUGGGUAAAUAUUGCAGUGCAUGGAAGCCAAUAAUCAUGGCUUGAGAAUUUAUCACCUUCAAUUACAAAAAGUGCAGUAAACAGAAACAUUUGCUCUACAUUUAUAAAUUGCUCAAAAAUCUUUGCUAAAGAUCUUACAAAUUCAGUAAUAUUACAGAACAAUUCUAAUCAAUAUUUAAUAAGGUUAACUACAUCCUUAGUUAGAUAUUUGAUAAACUUUGCUUUUCAAUAAUGCCAAUAGAUCUUGGGAGAAUGGGUAGAAAGGCUUAAUUAAGCUACUUAUUAAAUAACUUUAAAAAUGAAGGUCCUUCACUCAGUUCAUGGAACUGGUUGAGGUCAUACUGAAACAGAACAUCCCGUGUCGAAUUUGCUUUAUGGCCCAUGUUAUGGCAGAGGACGUCUCCAUCCUUCUCAUGACUCAGGUAGGAGGGGAAAGGUUUAUUCUGCCAUCAAGCCAUCUAGGAUAUUUUAUGUAAAUGCCUAUUAUCUAUAAUAGGAGCUAAGAAUACAACUGUGUUAGGUGCCAAUAAGACAAUUCCUUAAUAAGAAAAAAAAGUAUGUUACUCCAUUAAACAAGUUUCUUUAGGAUCUUGAAGGCCUGGCAAAUUAUUUUUCAGCGUAGGAGAUAUGCUGUAAAGCCAAGUAGCAAACAUAAAGUAAAUGCUAAUAAGUUUCCAUAUAGCCAUAUUUAUAAACAAAUUCACCCUAUAGAUGUCAAAUAUCCAUACUAAGGAAGUAAUUUUAUCCUAAUUAAAUACACUCUAGAAUA
rnacentral:lncRNA from 1 species